UGUCUUCAGAAGCAUGUAUAAUGCAUCACAGUAGUCUAGUCUGGAGAACAGAGCAAGGAUAACUGAGGCCAGGCUAUCUCUGUCCAGGUUGUUGCUGUGUAAAUAUGUAUUAUGUUUUACAGUUAUAGCUGAGGUAACGGCGCAGGAAACCUAUGUACUGAGGGAACCUGGUAGGUAGUCCAUGGAUUGGUUGGUCCUGGUGAGUCAUGCUGACUGGAUGGAGAGGCCUGUGAAGGGGUGAGAAGCUGGAGGCGAUUUGCUGGUGCCAAGCCUUGCUUUCCAUGAAGGGAACAUUUCCACCAACCCUCGCUCCCAAGGAGAUUCUGCUCAAGAACCGUCAGGAUGUCUCCUCGGCGAAAGGCAAGUUCAUCUGGACACUCAGCUUUGUUGUCAUACAGUGCUUUUGCCAAGGUGUUCUGGAAUGGAAGAGACUCAAUGUGAGGUCAUA